UUUCCUUCCCCCUACAGAAGCCUUGUAUGCCAGUCCGCUUCCCGCGGGCGACACUUGUCUGUUGCUGGAAAUCGUUCCCCCUGGAAGAAACCAGCAGUUAUUGGCGGAUGCCGGUAAUUCACAGAUCAAAUCAAGUGGUCCGGCGGGGUGAGAGCUUUUUCGCCCCCGGAUUAAGAUAUGAUCGCACUGCACAGCUGACGCCUUGCAAUCCUGGUUCCGUAGGUGAGCCUGCGGAAGGAUCAUUAACGAGUUAGGGGCCUCGCCCCGAACCUCCAACCCAAUGCGAACCUUACCACCGUUGCUUUGGCGGGCCCGCGGGUCCAACCGCCGCCGGCCUUGCCGGCGAGUGCCCGCCAGAGUCCAUCCAAAUUCGUUUGAUCGGUGUCGUCUGAGAAAAUAUUUAAUAGCAAAAAACUUUCAACAACGGAUCUCUUGGUUCUG
rnacentral:misc_RNA from 1 species